UGGAGAGUUGGUAUGUGAGGUAUGGAUUUGUGCCGUUUGGGACGGUAAACCUUCGCGCGCCCAUGCGCCCGCUUGUACCGCUUCAAGCUUCCCUGACC
rnacentral:tRNA from 1 species